CAUGUACUUAAAUAAUUGGAAUGGAGAGUUCGGAAAGUAGGUCAACCUUUAUACAACUAAUUGCGUCAUCCUCUGUCCCAAACCCAUGUUUUGAAUGGGGACUGAUGUGAAGGGUUAGUGCGAGGUAACGAAUAAACAACCAUUGACUUGUGAAGAUGAGCUCAAAUGUGAAUCAGGCUGUCUGGCACUGUUGUUGGUCUUUGGUUCAACCAUGGGACAUAACUCUUGGCUUCCUGGAAUUUAAAGCGAGAAAGGUCAAGUCAAUCAAAUGUCUCAAAACUGCCCGACCAGGAGUGACCACUUGAUAAGCAAAGUUAAGUAGAGUAGACCUUUCAAGGAUUACAACUCUUUCAACUGUAUUUUCUUUCUAUGUACUGUCUUUGCGUAUAAUUGUCUAAUGUUGACAAGCUUCUCUUCGGGUAACCGACUUUCCACAUGUACAGUCUACCUCGAUUCCAUAAAUGGUUAGACAGGUGGUUGGAAGGAAAGUUUUGGAUUGUUUGAGGGGUACUCCUAAUCCGUAGCACAAGUUCUCCAAAUUCUGGACAUCCGAAAGACAUUUGGAAGAUGAUGCUGGACCUAUGUAGAAGAAAUCGUUAAUGAGAUGUGGCAUACCAGAGGCUUUAUACUUGUUGAGCAUAAUCCACUGCAAUGCUGUGCU